rfam:Danio rerio chromosome 20, GRCz11 reference primary assembly.
GGGGAUAUAACUCAGUGGUAGAGCAUUUGACUGCAGAUCAAGAGGUCCCCGGUUCAAAUCGGGGUGCCGCCU